rnacentral:rRNA from 1 species
CGGUUGAUCCUGCCCGAGGCCACCGCUAUCGGGGUCCGACUAAGCCAUGCAAAGUCGAGGGCCGCCCGGCUAUGGGGGCGGCCCGGCGGACGGCUCAGUAACACGUGGGUAACCUACCCUCGGGACGGGGAUAACCCCGGGAAACUGGGGCUAAUCCCCGAUAGGCGGGGCGGCCUGGAACGGUCCUCCGCCGAAAGGGGCCCGGGCUCAUGCCGCCCGGGCCCGCCCGAGGAUGGGCCUGCGGCCGAUUAGGUAGUUGGCGGGGUAACGGCCCGCCAAGCCGAUAAUCGGUACGGGCGGUGAGAGCCGGAGCCCGGAGACGGGGACUGAGACAAGGCCCCGGGCCCAACGGGGCGCAGCAGGCGCGAAACCUCCGCAAUGCGGGCAACCGCGACGGGGGGACCCCGAGUGCCGUCGGGGCAAAGCUCCGGCGGCUGUACCGGGGUGUAAAAAGCCCCGGGUAGAAAGCGGCGGGCAAGACCGCUGCCAGCCGCCGCGGUAAUAGCGGCGCCGCAAGUGGUGGCCGCUUUUAUUGGGCCUAAAGGGGCCGUAGCCGGUCCCGUGGGUCCCCGCCGAAAGCCCGCGGCUUAACCGCGGGAGUCGGCGGGGAAACUGCGGGACUUGGGACCGGGAGAGGCCGGAGGUACCCCCGGAGUAGGGGUGAAAUCCUGUCAUCCCGGGGGGACCGCCAGUGGCGAAGGCGUCCGGCUGGAACGGGUCCGACGGUGAGGGCCGAAAGCCGGGGGAGCAAACCGGAUUAGAUACCCGGGUAGUCCCGGCUGUAAACGAUGCGGACUAGGUGUUGGGGCGGCCAUGAGCCGCCCCAGUGCCGUAGGGAAGCCGUUAAGUCCGCCGCCUGGGGAGUACGGCCGCAAGGCUGAAACUUAAAGGAAUUGGCGGGGGAGCACA